CUGAUCGUAAUUUAUAUGUAUCAUUAUUAUUAUGUUUUCAUUCUCUUAAUUAUUUAAAUAUACAUAGAGAAUAAGUUAUAAUCCUGAAGGUGCUAAGGUACAGCUGGGCGUAGAGGCAUUCUCCUUCUAACUUAAAUUAAAAUCAGAGGUUUCUCCAAAACACAUUGAAAAUAAGAGGAUCCAUCUAUAGUUUAGGUUGAGGCAUUUCUCCAUCCAACCUAUAAAGUGAGGCAAUUAUACACAUCAUAUUUUCAAUAGAGGUAAUUUUACUAAUCUAGGCCCCCUUCUGUAUAUUCUCUUAAAUACUUAAAAUACAAGAAAAGACUCAACAAGUUUUAAAAUGAAUAAAAGUUAACAAUUUAUUAUGCCAGGCAGGUUACACUUAAAUCAAUCAUUUAGUUGUUCAAAUUCAUCAAGUCAAACAUUCAUUAAAAAGAUCAGCAUAUAAAGAAAAGUCACAAAGUAAAAUUCAUACCUGGCAAUCAAAGACACACAUACAGAUGCUUCCCCGAGUCCUUUGCCAAUGUUCCUUAUAUACACCAGUGAAAUGAGAGUUAUGGUCAAUAUGGUUUUUUCAUUUAGUUUCUCGUGGCCCUAAAGGUCACCAAAUGGGAUCGCCCUCCAUCUGUACUUAAGAUUAUAAGACACGCCUCUUAGAGGACAAAGGAUAUGUUUUAAAGUUAAAUCUCCAAUAUACUCUUAUCUUAGACUUAAAGAAAUUAGACCUUUUUUUACCCAUCACACCAUGACCUUUAAAAAGAUAUCAAACAUCUUGUAACAGUAUUUCCAUCAUCACAACAUAUGAUAUACUCAAUAUUACAUGUGUUUAGUAUAUUUCCAGCAACAAGAUCUUUGAGAGGGGAAGAAAUACAGGUCAGUUCCUGGGUAUCAGUGACCCCUGUGGAGAGAGACAACACCCUCUCUCGGGAACAUAGAAUGUGGUUUUAUUGUUUUAUUGUCCAGCUCCAAAAACACACUCUUGUCCAUCUGCCCUACACUACGAUGUAUAUAUGAUUUCCAAAUGAUAUAUGCAAGUAUUAAACGGCAAUAAAUGUCUCAUCUAUCUCUAUGGCUCUGGCUGAGGCUUUCUCCACUUCUCCCCAAAACGUAAAAACGUAAAAAAAUUGUGGUCUUUAAGACCAUUUUUGAGACAUAAAAAAAUGAUAUAUAUCUUGAGUGAUUCAUGUACUCGAUAGUGGUGUUUAACCUGCAACACCCCUUUUAUGAAUCUGAUGCAUAAAAUAUAUAAAAACAAGAAAAUAAGAUAUGUGGGGGAAAAUAUGAGUAUUACCAGCAAUGUUGAGCAUUAAGUUAUUUGGCAAACAUAAGGCAUUUGUAAUUAUAAAGCGUUUGCACCCGCGUGUAUGUGUGUGUGUGUGUGUGUGUGUGUGUGUUUUCUCCUUGCGAUGUAAAAUAGGCCUUCAACUAAAACAGAUAAUCACUGGAGUCCAUUCCCGACUCCCGAGCGACCACAUUCAACAUAACAAGUAAUUUGUUAUAAUGUACAAUUUUGUUUCUGAAAUUGUUUUGUGCUGUUGUGUGCAGAUAAGUUUUGAAUUGAUAGUCAUGUAGUAUGUAGUGCUCUUUCUUAUUUUGUUAUCAUGUGUCUAUUUGGAUUCUCUAGGUGCACAGUUUUUGUUUGGAAAAAAGCUCACAGAAACUAAAACCAGAUGUAUGCAGCUUUGCCAGGCGUGCAGCACCAGCGUAAACCAGCUUAGACCACUCGUCUAAGCUUUCAGCCUGGUAAAGCUGGAUUUUCGAUCUGAACAGCUAAAAGUGGACUCUAAAAACCUCUCUAAAACCAGCCUGCUACACCAGCUAAAACCAAACUGGGAGGUCAGGUCAACUAGGUCCACGUGCUCGUCUCCACUCAAACCUUUGCAGAGAAAUGAAACAGUGACUGCAUGUUUGAUCUACAGUCGCCACCUAGUGGUGAUAAGAAUGAAUAGCAUUAACAGAAAGUAUGACUUCAACAUGUUUUUGGUGGUAUGGUACAGUGCUUUAUAUAGAUUAAUGGUAUAUGGUACAGUCUUCUUUAGCUUAAAGGUAAAUUCAACAGUGAAUGAAGAUAAUUUUUAAACUGUGUUUAGAUGUAGUUCAAUAAAGUUCAGAGUAUCAGUGAAGCAAGUUUGAGAGAUUUCUACAUAAAAUCUAUAAUGUUAAAAAUAUAAUCUUGAUAUCUUUAAUAAGGUAACAUUUUUAAAUAAGGUCUAUCUCUAUUUACAGUUGUUUUAUGCCACAUUUAACCUCCUAAGACCUGGAUGUCACAUAUGUGGACAUCAAUGUUUUUGUUGUUUGCACCAUAAUACUUAAUUCUGUGUAACUGGAACCUGUUAUGGACAAACAUGGACAAAUACACUGCUUCAUGUUCAAAGAAAAAUAUUUGGUUAUUAUAUUUAUUGGUUCCCCAAAAUAGCUGGUAAAAAUCUGGAAAAAAAGUCAAACCAAAGCUCGGGUUCAGGAGGUUAAUUUAGGCUUCAUGUUAUCUGACCAAUGAUAGGAGAUUGUUGCAUAAAAUUGGUUUGGGCAGAAAAAAUUAUUUUGGUAGUGGAAACAUUUUUUAGAUCUUUUCCUCUCAUCUCAUAUUUUGUCCACCACCAUGACCCUUUAGUCUCUGUGGUGGUUCUUCAUCAGUCAACAUGUCUAAUGUCCUUUAAUGUGUUUGGGAAUUAAUAUUAAGUAGUGUUUAGUGAAUUUAACCCUGCAGUAAACCCAGCAAUAUGUAACUCUGUUGAUGCUUUAACUGCUGUAAGGGAUGAGGGAUUAUUAGCUAACUUAAUGUCUGUUUUUGCCUGUGUUUAACUAUUUGAUAUGUGUGAAGGAUUUUGAGCAAUGAAAAACCUUUCGUAUGUAUCAUGCAUUAAAAUAUAUGACCUUUGAUGCUUUUUGAUGAUUUAAAUAAAAUCUCCAUACAAUCUGA